UCCCUCCCCCGCCAACACACAUAGCCCAGUGCCACGCUUCCUACUCUUCAACCUCUCCUGCCAAAUUCGCACUGCCCAAGUGGAAGUUUUAUAACACACUGGAAAGAGAAGCCUCCCAUCUUUUGUUAGCUCCUCAAUCCAUCUUCCAGUGUAGCGGCAUCCUGUGGACUCCUGACGUGCAAGUGUUUUUGGAUGCCACUCGAUUUCCUGUAGCUUCUCUUUGGCCCAUUUGCAAGGAACACCCCAUCCUGACCCUCACUCCCAUUUCAGGCUCUUACGCGCCUCGUGACAGAUUAUCAAUGGUACUGAGAUAUCUCUCCUUCCGUGUAAGUACUGCCAAGCAGAGGUGAGGGACUCAAGUCACGUGACUUGAGUGGAAUUAAAAAUAUUGGAAUGAAUCAACUUGACUUACACUUUGAGACACAAACAGACAAGAACUGAGCUCGUGCCAUAGUCUUGCCUGUUUAUAAAAAAACAUAAUUGACAACAUUAUAAUUAUAAUUCUCUUUUCAGAGAAACAUAUAUAUUUUUGUCCACACCAAAAACCACAACACAGAACUUUGCUGUCUGCGAGAACCACCUGCCCUGUCCCAGCCUUCUCUCCACUUGCACUCGCUGCUCUGGCCUUCUCAUCCAAACAUAGUUUGGUGCUCAGUCUUUCACAUUCACAGCUACACCGCCUAUUAGCACAUACUAACUGUAGGGUUGUCGCAAUACAAAAGCUACAGUAUUAAAAAUGCAUUCCUAAUGCAACGUGGGACAUUGUUAUAAACACUAAUGCAAUUCAGCUAAUUAACUUACAUUUUGUUUGGUAAUGUAUGUUUGGUCAUGUAAUAACCCUUUAAAUUACUCUGGAGGACAAGUAUAAUUUACAGAGCAUGUGUUCACUAUGAGCCACCCGAGUGAGUGAUUCAAUGAAAGAGAAAAAGGUGAAAUCUCUCCCCCUCUCUCUCUCUCACUGUGUGUGUGUAUAUAUAUUCAUUCAUUCAUUCAUCUUCCGUACCGCUUGAUCCUCACUAGGGUCGCGGGGGGUGCUGGAGCCCAUCCCAGACGUCUCCGGGCAGUAGGCGGGGGACACCCUGAAUCGGUUGCCAGCCAAUCGCAGGGCACACAUAGACGAACAACCAUUCACGCUCACACUCACACCUAGGGACAAUUUAGAGUGUUCAAUCAGCCUGCCAUGCAUAUUUUGGAAUGUGGGAGUAAACCGGAGCACCCGGAGAAAACCCACGCAGGCCCGGGGAGAACAUGCAAAGUCCACACAGGGAGGCCGGAGCUAGAAUUGAACCCGGUACCUCUGCACUGUGAAGCCGACGUGCUAACCACUGGACUACCGGGCCGCCCUGUGUAUGUACUGUAUAUGUAUAUAAUGUAUAUAUAAAGUAUUGGCCCGAAUAUAAGACGGCCCUGAUUAUAAGACGAACCCCUCUUUUUCAAAACUCAAGUUUGAAAAAAGACUUUUUGAACAUCAAAUAAAUUUUUAUACAAAAAAUAAUUACACUACAUCUGAAACCAAUGAUUAUAACAAUAUACAGUAUUUGAGAGAAAGAGCAUGUUAUUUUGCCUCAUUCAAAUCUAAAGUGCAAUCACAUUCGUAAAUGAAUGGCUUCUGGUUUUUGAAAUGUAAAUUACAUCAUAACUUCUCCUCAGCUGCCGGUUAACCUGGCUGAUCUUCGACCCACUUUUCUCCAGAUUGUCACUAUGUUUCUCCAUUUUCUGUUAUCUCUUCUAUUAUUUUCUUCUUUUUUCCUUCUUGCCACUAUUUUUUAUUUUUCCUCUUCGUGCUACCGCUGUUUUUAUUUUUAUUUUUCGUGGCAGGGGUUCACUUUGGCCUGGGAGUUAAGUUCAGCGUUUGCUUCAAUGCUAUCUGGCGCCAUCUAGCGUCGUGAAUGGUUAUAAUUUCGAGACCCCGAAUAUAAGACGACCCCCACUUUUUCAGUCUUAUUUCAAUGCAAAAAACACCGUCUUAUAUUCGGGCCAAUACAGUAUAUAUGUGUGUGUGCACAUAUGUGUACAAUUACAAUUUAGAGCAUCCAAUUCUACCAUGCAUGUUUUCGGAAUGUGGGAGGAAACCGGAGUACCCGGAGAAAAACCAUUUAGGCAUGGAUACCCGGAAUCAAACCCAUAAUGUCUGCACAGUCUGGCAGAUGUGGUAACCAGUUAAUCACCGUGCUGCUGUGUAUAAUAAACAAGAUCAUUCUACGCUCAAAUGUACCAGUGCCCUUUUUAUUUUUUUCAGGUUUUUCUAUUAGACUUUUUUUUUUUUAAACGAUAACUCUCUUCGUUUAUGAUUGUGGAGCACGCAGAGAAGUGCCUUGCUGCCAGACCAUGCAGAUCAGGGGUCUCAAAAUCCGGUCCUGGAGGGCCUGCAUGUUUUCCAAGUCUCCCUGUUGCAACACACCUGAUUCAAAUGAUCAGAUCAUCAGCAAGCUCUGCGGAAGCCUGAUAUUGAACCUGUUCAUUUGAAUCAGGUGUGUUGCAACAGGGAGACUUGGAAAACAUGCAGGACAGCGGCCCUCCAGGACCUGAGUUUGAGACCCCUGAUGUAGACCAAAUUAUAUUUUUGAAAAUGCAAGUCUUUAGCAAAAUUGUUUAUUGUUAGCUUCAGUAGUGAACAUAGCUGGUUAAUUUGCUGCGGAAAUACACGUUUAAUACUUGUGAAUAUUUUUUUGUUCCACAAAACUUUAAAAAAAAAAUAUUGUUCACAUAUGUGAAGCACUAUCUUAAGGAUUUGUUUACAUUGACGUGGUAGGGCAAAAAAGAAUACACUUUUUCUGGUCAUAAGUUAGUCAAUAAAACGAGAACUAGCUUGUUCUGUUUUACUUUGUUUAUGCUCAAAUAUUAGAAUAACUAUCUUGUUCAUUUUUUUUACAUUUUGGAAUCAGUAAAACUCAGUUGGUUUUAAAGUAAAAGUUUAUGAAACAGCAUUCUAUCAUGUUGAUUUUGAGUUACCUUUAAUUUUUUAUUUUUUUUUUUCACGACAGCGGUGAUAUCGCUUUGUGUCGAAUCAUUCGGCCUUAUAUUGAUACGUUUUGAUAAUUUGUGAUCAAUCUCAAAUUGAAAUAAUGAUGAAGUAAUAAUGAUGGGUGGGUGGCCCGGCUGCUGGCGACUGAUGAAUGACUGACCGUCAAAAUUAACUGACAUGCCCAUAUAUGUGUGUGUGUGUGUAGAUGUACAACUAGUGUGGUAUUUAAAUUUGGCUUCGCAAAGUGUGCAAAUUAUUUAGGAUUUCUUCAAUGAGUGAGCCAUCAAGGAACUUAAUGUAAAAGUCUGUAUUAACACUUGUGACCCCCUCUAAGUUUGGACGCAAAGUGAACAGAACUUAGCCUUAAAGCGAGUAAAAUUUUUUAAACAUGGUUUUAAAAAUGUGGAUUAAUCUCCAAAGUUAACGUUCAUAUACAUAUAUAUAUCACAUAUAUUGCCUGUUUGCCAUGAGUGACCCUGCCAGUGGCUUAAAGCCCCAGAACACUUAGCUCCUCAGAUCAUUGUGACACACAAACCCCUCCACCACAGUAAGGUGACGGCUCACGGAGGGAGAGGGAAGUCUGGGUUUCCCUACUAAAGCUGCUGCCCACCGCGAUCCGACCCCGGAUAAGCAGCGGUAAAUGGAUGGAUGGAUGUGUGUGUGUGUGUAUAUAUAUAUAUAUAUAUAUUUAUAGAUAAAGCUAUACCUUGUUUGACUUUUUUCUACAGUAUCAUGUUCUGUCUUGAUUGUGUUCCAGGUCCAGCUGGAGUGAAGGGUGUUUCCCUCCAGCAGGUGCACCUGUACCUCGUUUCCCCAUCAAGCCCAGCCUUGUAUUUAAGGGCUCUUACUUCUGCCAAGUCUUGUUGGAUUACUGACCUUGAUUGCUGUUAUGUUAUGUUCAAGUGUGAUUUUUGUAGACCUCUCAAUGGCAGUGAUAGUCACUCUUGUUUUUGUUCAUAGAUACGUGUUUGUCAAUAUGUUUGUUAAUCUAGUAUUGCGCUUUGUUUUUGUGAAAUUGAACUUUUGGAUAUUUCAUUUGUGUGUUCAAUUGAACCUUGCCUUUGCAAGCGCUUUUGCUUUCAAGCAUUGUUUGUCCUGGCGCCUUGUGACCAGCGAUUUCAGUUAACACGUUAGUGGUGCGAUUUUCUUUCAUAAAUGUUUUUUGUAAUAACACUUUCUCUGAGUCUCUUUUUGGAAUCGUAAAACAUUAUUUGCUUCAGUCAGAAACGAACAUACAUUAAAUUCAGACUUAUGAAUUCCACAUCUGCAUCCAAUUGGGAUGGGAUGUACACAUGUUUGCACAAUUAAGCACGCUAUGCACCCACGCAUUUCCAACCUACGAUAUGUUUUGCAUACUGGAUGUGUAGAGGUGGCGUGAGAAAGGCAACAUCGUCGUCAAACAUUGUAAUACAAAUGCCAUGUGUGGCUGCAGGCCAUACAUUCUUGCAUCGGUGCCCUUUCCUAGUGUCAAGACAAAUCCCAGUUCCAGUGAACCUGUUGUAAUCACAAUAGUUUUUAUGCACCACCGGAGACUGUUUUGGUGACUGGGUGGAUGCUGCCGAGCGCUUAUAAUUGCAACAGGUGGCAAGGAUGGAAGAAAGGUCACGACAGAUUGUCAUCUCACUGUCUGGUACAGUACAUCUAAACAGUCAGUACAGAUGGCUGCUCCCAUUUCAUGUGCGUCUUGAAACAGAAGACAUCACAAAAUGCUCAACA